GGUGAGAACCUGCAUGUCAUGCCAGAGGUUUGAGCAAGUGAAAACUGAAGCACCAGAGUUGAAGCCCAUCAAACCGAAGUCACCAUGGCAUAUGAUUGGUGUUGACCUAAUUGGACCAUUCAAAGCCUCAAAGAAUGGGAACCGCUUCUGUCUGACAGCAACUGACUUCUUCACGAAGUGGGUGGAGGCCAGGCCCAUCAAAGACAAGACUGCAACUGCCACAUCACAGGCUUUGAUGGACAUUUUCUACACCCAUGGUGCUCCUGAGGUCAUCUUGACAGACCAGGGUCGUGAAUUCUGGAACAAUGUGCAGUAUUUACACAUAUAGAUGUGUAAUUUAACAGUGAUUGAUUAACACUGGCAAACAAGAAACCUAAUAACUUGAAUUCCUUAAUUCAGGUAAACAAGUCCCUGUUUGAGGAGUUUGUGUUAGGGGGUACGGAACGUGGAGACCCAAGUGCAGACACAGGCAGAGACGAGGUAAAGGGGAACGGGGUUUAUUGGUAGGCAGAAGUGUCAGACAGGCGGGGAUCAGGA